rnacentral:sRNA from 1 species
CUACGCGCUGGUUCAAAGUCUGGGUUU